GUCUUUUUGAUUAUAAUUUAAAGUCUAACCUGCCCACUGAAUUUUUUAAAGGGCCGCGGUAUUUUGACUGUGCAAAGGUAGCAUAAUCAUUAGUCUUUUAAUUGGAGGCUUGUAUGAAUGGUUGGAUGAGGUAUUAACUGUCUCAAUUUAAUAAAUAAUAGAAUUUUAUUUUUAAGUUAAAAAGCUUAAAUUUAAUUAAAAGACGAGAAGACCCUAUAGAUCUUUAUAAUUUAUUAUGUAAUAAUUUUUUAGAUAAAAUUUAUUUUUAUAUAAUUAAUUAUUUUAUUGGGGUGAUAAAAAAAUUUAUAAAACUUUUUUUGUGUUUAAACAGUGAUAUUUGAUUAUUUGAUCCAUUUUUUGUGAUUAUAAGAUUAAGUUACCUUAGGGAUAACAGCGUAAUUUUUUUGGAGAGUUCUUAUCGAUAAAAAAGAUUGCGACCUCGAUGUUGAAUUAAAGGUUAAUUUUAGGUGUAGAAGUUUAAAAUUUUGGUCUGUUCGACCAUUAAAUC
rnacentral:rRNA from 1 species